CCUACGGGUGGCAGCAGUGGGGAAUAUUGGACAAUGGGCGAAAGCCUGAUCCAGCCAUGCCGCGUGUGUGAAGAAGGCCUUCGGGUUGUAAAGCACUUUCAGUGGGGAAGAAAGCCUUGGGGCUAAUACCCUCGAGGAAGGACAUCACCCACAGAAGAAGCACCGGCUAACCCCGUGCCAGCAGCCGCGGUAAUACGGAGGGUGCGAGCGUUAAUCGGAAUUACUGGGCGUAAAGCGCGCGUAGGCGGUCUGAUAAGCCGGUUGUGAAAGCCCCGGGCUCAACCUGGGAACGGCAUCCGGAACUGUCAGGCUAGAGUGCAGGAGAGGAAGGUAGAAUUCCCGGUGUAGCGGUGAAAUGCGUAGAGAUCGGGAGGAAUACCAGUGGCGAAGGCGGCCUUCUGGACUGACACUGACGCUGAGGUGCGAAAGCGUGGGUAGCAAACAGGAUUAGAUACCCGAGUAGUC
rnacentral:rRNA from 1 species